rnacentral:lncRNA from 1 species
GUUUUAGGUUUUAAAAAACUACUAAAAUACCCAACUCAGAAAAUUAUCCAAAAACAUUUUAAAAUUUCAAGGUGCUUUAGAAUCCUACAUGUGGAAACAUACCUCCACUCUGAAAACCCGACAUUUGCCUUAUUAGGUUUUAGAAAGUCAUAGAAAUUGAAUUUUAAUCAAUACUAGUCACAUAUAGACGAUUAUGAAAUGACACUAAGCUCUUAUUUGUCCAUGCCAUUAUCUAUUUUCUUUGGGCUGCAAUUUCCAUAUCUAUAAAAUGAGAUAUUUAAUGAAUGAUUUCAAACAUUCCUUCCAGUUGUUUAAUUCCAUUAUCUAUAAAAUGCUUUUUAUAUAACGUGUUUUAAAUUGAAUGUGACCUCUAUUAUGAGUUGCUUUUACAAACUAGUGGUGGGCAGGAUUAAGAAAUUAACCCCCAGGGCCACCCCCAUGGCAUAGCCCCAUAGUUCCCGUGCUCCACUUCCGCAGCCCAGGGUAAACAGGUUCAUAUCCUGGGCAUGGACUUAACACACUUGUCAUGCCACGCUGUGGAGGCAUUCCACAUAAAAUAGAGUAAGAUUGGCACAGAUGUUAGCUCAGUGACAAUCUCCCUCCAGCAAAAGAGGAUGUUUGGCAACAGAUGUUAGCUCAGGGCCAAUCUUCCUCACACACACACACACACACACACACACACAAAACCCUUGCAUAACAUAGAAAUAGAAGAAUGGGACAGCACAUCAUAUUUAGAAAUCACUUUAAAGAGUAUUUAGUACUUAGGCCAAGAUGGAUUAGGCUGUAAUAACCCUGACAUCUCGGUGACUUAUUAUAGCAGAGAUUUAUUUCUCCCUCACAUGACAUGUUCAACAUUACUUGGUAGGUGACCUGUGUUCUAUUUUGUCACUCAGGGACCUAGGCCAAUAAAGGGUCCACAUCUGAGACUGCGUCAUGUGGAAGGUACAACCACCAUGUUCACGGUGGCAAGGGACAUUUCUCUUUCCUAGCACCAACUAUGCCAGAACCAAGAUUUGAAGAAAAGAUCCAUCUACUACUUAACUCUUCUCAGAGCAUGCCAGCAUACUGACUGGAUAAGA